GCAAACUUGGUCAUUUAGAGGAAGUAAAAGUCGUAACAAGGUUUCCGUAGGUGAACCUGCGGAAGGAUCAUUAUUGAAUUGGGCCCCUGGUCCUGCUCGCCCACCCAUUUGUGAUUGAUUCCUAGUUGCCUUGGUGGUUCCUUUGCCACCAGGGAACCAACCAUAACACUCUGAUAUACGAGUUUGAAUUCAUUACACAAUUAUAUGAAAACUUUCAACAAUGAAUCUCUUGGUUCUAGCAUCGAUGAAGAACGCAGC
rnacentral:misc_RNA from 1 species